GAUGAAGAACGCAGUGAAAUGCGAUAAGUAAUGUGAAUUGCAGAAUUCAGUGAAUCAUCGAAUCUUUGAACGCACAUUGCGCCCGCCAGCAUUCUGGCGGGCAUGCCUGUUCGAGCGUCAUUUCAACCCUCAAGCUCUGCUUGGUGUUGGGGCCCUACGGUUGACGUAGGCCCUUAAAGGUAGUGGCGGACCCUCUCGGAGCCUCCUUUGCGUAGUAACUAACGUCUCGCAUUGGGAUUCGGAGGGACUCUUGCCGUAAAACCCCCAAAUUUUCUAAUGGUUGACCUCAGAUCAGGUAGGAAUACCCGCUGAACUUAAGCAUAUCAAUAAGCGGAGGA
rnacentral:misc_RNA from 1 species